GGUCUCACCUAGUUGUCCAUUUAGCUAUCUGUAAGGAUGGCUUUAGGUCUUAGCCUAAGCAACUCCAUUUUAAAACUCUAUCUUAAAAUAAACCUGCAGUCUCACCAGGCAAGUCAGCAGAGCCCUCCGAUAUGUCAGUCAGGCAUAGCCUGAUAAAAGCAAGUCACUUUCUACAACCCUAACAAGAGUCUGGGUGAAGUCACAUGUCAUUUGUCAUAACCCUGAUAACAGCCAGAAGGGUACACUAAGGUAGAAACCACCAGACCAUAUGUCCUCUCUAAGAUGUAAGAUGUCACUAAGAAACUUGGUAACAGCUGAAAGGGACCCAAAGGGUGAGCAGAAGCUCCCAAAAUUUAGUAUAAAUAAUGGAACAAAUGACAGACAUUCAGCCAGCCAACACUGAUGUGCACAUGGCUGGAGAGCCUGAUGAGGACCUGGACUGACAAUCCAACUCUUCUCAUCAUCCACCCGAUCCUAUGCUUUGUCCUCACCGCUUUCAAACUCUACAGCACCAUCUUGACCCUGGUGAGAAAGGUGACUCCUCCUUAUGACCCUCCUCUCAGCCAGCCAUCACUCCACACCAGGAGAAGCCUCUGCUGGUUCAUGACCUGAUUGCUACAGUCUGAGUGAAUGUGCAUCUUCUGGACUUAAGGCCUAAGACUGGAGACUUUAAAUCUAGCACUUAAGCUUAGCAUGCAGAGAGAAUGUCUGGAAUAGAUCUGUCAUGAUUAGGAGUGUUUGCAGUGCUUAGAGAUAACUUAGAAUUUGUUUGCUUCGAAUUAGUUGUGUUUAUUGCUUUUGUCAGCCUGAAUUAUUG
rnacentral:lncRNA from 1 species